rnacentral:rRNA from 1 species
AGGGAUAAACGCUGAAAGCAUCUAAGCGUGAAGCCCCCCUCAAGAUGAGAUUUCCCAUUUCUUCGGAAAGUAAGAUCCCUGAAAGAUGAUCAGGUAGAUAGGUUUGGAGUGGAAGUGUAGCGAUGCAUGGAGCGGACAAAUACUAAUCGAUCGAGGACUUAACCAAAAA